UCAGUAGUCAGUGUACAGGCGACGGUGAUGGAGAUUCCUCCCUACCUUCGUCGAACACACACACACCAACGCUGCCGAGACCACCGGGUUGUCCAGUGCGAGACUCCUCGGCCCGCUGUAACGGAUACUACUAAUUUGUGUUUUACGUGGCGGCACACCUCCAGCAAAAAGUGUCCUCGGCCCUGACGUGAGGAGGGGGGGGGACACUUGCUGGACAUCCGAGGAUGGAAGCAGACACGAGAUGCACAGGGAGACAAUCCGGUGCACGUGAAGGCCACAAA